rnacentral:rRNA from 1 species
GAUGAACGCUGGCGGCGUGCCUAAUACAUGCAAGUCGAGCGAACGGACGAGAAGCUUGCUUCUCUGAUGUUAGCGGCGGACGGGUGAGUAACACGUGGAUAACCUACCUAUAAGACUGGGAUAACUUCGGGAAACCGGAGCUAAUACCGGAUAAUAUUUUGAACCGCAUGGUUCAAAAGUGAAAGACGGUCUUGCUGUCACUUAUAGAUGGAUCCGCGCUGCAUUAGCUAGUUGGUAAGGUAACGGCUUACCAAGGCAACGAUGCAUAGCCGACCUGAGAGGGUGAUCGGCCACACUGGAACUGAGACACGGUCCAGACUCCUACGGGAGGCAGCAGUAGGGAAUCUUCCGCAAUGGGCGAAAGCCUGACGGAGCAACGCCGCGUGAGUGAUGAAGGUCUUCGGAUCGUGAAACUCUGUUAUCAGGGAAGAACAUAUGUGUAAGUAACUGUGCACAUCUUGACGGUACCCUAUCAGAAAGCCACGGCUAACUACGUGCCAGCAGCCGCGGUUAUACGUAGGUGGCAAGCGUUAUCCGGAUUUAUGGGGCGUAAAGCGCGCGUAGCGGUUUUUUAGUCUGAUGUGAAAGCCCACGGCUCAACCGUGGAGGGUCAUUGGAAACUGGAAAACUUGAGUGCAGAAGAGGAAAGUGGAAUUCCAUGUGUAGCGGUGAAAUGCGCAGAGAUAUGGAGGAACACCAGUGGCGAAGGCGACUUUCUGGUCUGUAACUGACGCUGAUGUGCGAAAGCGUGGGGAUCAAACAGGAUUAGAUACCCUGGUAGUCCACGCCGUAAACGAUGAGUGCUAAGUGUUAGGGGGUUUCCGCCCCUUAGUGCUGCAGCUAACGCAUUAAGCACUCCGCCUGGGGAGUACGACCGCAAGGUUGAAACUCAAAGGAAUUGACGGGGACCCGCACAAGCGGUGGAGCAUGUGGUUUAAUUCGAAGCAACGCGAAGAACCUUACCAAAUCUUGACAUCCUUUGACAACUCUAGAGAUAGAGCUUUCCCCUUCGGGGGACAAAGUGACAGGUGGUGCAUGGUUGUCGUCAGCUCGUGUCGUGAGAUGUUGGGUUAAGUCCCGCAACGAGCGCAACCCUUAAGCUUAGUUGCCAUCAUUAAGUUGGGCACUCUAAGUUGACUGCCGGUGACAAACCGGAGGAAGGUGGGGAUGACGUCAAAUCAUCAUGCCCCUUAUGAUUUGGGCUACACACGUGCUACAAUGGACAAUACAAAGGGCAGCGAAACCGCGAGGUCAAGCAAAUCCCAUAAAGUUGUUCUCAGUUCGGAUUGUAGUCUGCAACUCGACUACAUGAAGCUGGAAUCGCUAGUAAUCGUAGAUCAGCAUGCUACGGUGAAUACGUUCCCGGGUCU